AUUGCUUUGAGUUAAAUUAGUUUUCUGCAUGACUGUUGUAGCUGUUUUGAUGAACCUGAUUCUGAGAACUCAGGUUUAAGAUCUAAGAUUUAAGGUGAAUAAAAUUCCGGAUGAUAAUUCUUUCACCAAUAUACUUAAGCUCAGGUCAAAUGAUCCAGGUAACUCUUAGCCUAAGAUGUGAUAUCUAACUUUCCAGUUUUUAGAGAAAAAGGUAAUAAAUUGGGACAGAAAAGAAAAAGUCCAUUCACAAAUAAUCAAAUAAAACUUUAAAAAUAUAGAAAAUAUAAUUUCAUGGUUUAAAUGAAAUCUCAAGAGUUAGGUAACCAGGGAUGGUUUAUUUAGCUACUGAACAUAAACUAGUAGAAUUGGAAAUUGAGCAAACCAGUUUUGAGUAUAGAUUUUGUUCCAGAUUUUUGACACCUCGCAUAUCGGGUGAGAGGAGACUCGUGUAGAUGUGGAAGUCUGUCACGUCAAAGGUCUAAGUGGCUAGAAGAGAACUCUUGGAGGAAGGCCACAGCCUCAUUCCCAGAUUUUAUCCGUUUGGAAAGAUCGCCCCCAUCCAAUUUGAAAUUGUGUCUUCUUACACUGCUUCGACUCUGAAUGAUCUCUCCAGCGCAAGCAUUCAGCUGUCCCUGUUGCUGGCUCUGGCUCUUGGUUCCCAGCACGGCAUUCUUCUAGAGAAGCAGAAUUUCUUCUCUCCUGCCCAGGACGACAGGCAGGCAGUCUCUGCAGCAGCAGCCUUCGUGGAUCGGUACCUGGCCCGGUGGCCACAGAGCCCCCUGCUCUGCCGUGUCCCUGGAGAGCCAGCCCUCCCUUCCCAGGAGCUGAGGGUCUUUGUUCCAGGCAGCCACGUGGGCACCCUACUGUUGUGAAGAGGAGGAGGAAGAACGCUGAUGUAUGCAUUCUGCCCAUCACUGCUUUCUGAGCAACUGUCUUGGGAGGAAGACAUGAAAGACAGAUGUAAAAACUGAGGGUCACAUUGGGAUUUCAUUAGCUUAGUGGCUGUCACAGUAUGUCCAGGAAGGAGGCUGUGGGCAUGCGGCGGAUGGUGUCUGAGGAGCUGAAACUGCACUUGUGUGUGCGCGUGUGUGUGUGUACAUGUGUGUGUGCACUGCAUGCCUGAGGUAGGGCAGACAUUUCAGGCUUUGCCAUGUAAUUUACUUGCUUCAGCUUUAAAAAACAUUGUCAGUUGGGUUGCACCAGGCUUGGUUAUUUUUCUUUAUGGGUGCUUCUGUGAAAAUCUUUAAAUUUCAGCAUAGCCUCCUUCGCGGGGCAUUCACUGUGAAGAAUAGACACACUAUGGCUUUGCUUUCUUUUUCCAUUACUGUGGCCUGAAAUGCUUACAGUAAAUGCCUCCAGUGCACUAACGUAAGCCAACAGCCCCAAUCAAGGUGAGAGUGCUCCCAUAAUCUGGAAGGUACAGGCCUUCAUUUGAUCAUUGUAGGAAUACAUGAGUGUCCACUCUCAGCGGCCACCACUGCCCUUCCCUACCCUGCUAGUCCAGUUCCCAGUUCCUGAAUUGCCGGGAUCCGUGGCUACAUCAUUUGAUCGGCUGUUUGACAGGGUCCAGCCGAUUAACGCCGAGGGGUGCAGGGUCACCCCUUGGUGAAGAAUAACUGGCCUGCCCCUCACAUAGUUCUGAAACCUGUGCUGCUUCUAAUUGCCCUUCAUUCCUUUUCCUUUCUUAACCUCCAGUUUUCACUCCUUUGGGUGGCUGCUUGGGAGGCACUACCUCCUGGGAAAAUUAGAUAUAGUAAGAGAAUGUGACCACCUGCUGGUAACUUUCAGGAUAUUUUUCAGUUAAUUAUUGGAGGAGCACACAGUCCCAUUUGAGACAAGCAGAAAGGAAUCCUGCCCAGAUAAGAUGUCGAAUUAGGUUUAUGGCCUCCAUCUGGUUAAUAUUUCCUUCUCCCUCCAGUUCUUUGUCUAAAUAUAUAUAUGCAUCGUCCUUCUAAGUUUGCUGGUUAAUUGGAUGAUCAAGAAGUAUGUAUAUAUUAUUCUUGACCUUCUGCUUUCUGUUAAAAUGUUAUAGAGGUUUUCUCCUAAAAGCAAUAAAUAAUAAAUAAUUGAUGAGUAGAAGGGCCGA
rnacentral:lncRNA from 1 species